rnacentral:pre_miRNA from 1 species
UCUUAUGGGUAAGCAAUGAAAGUGGUUUUGUGAGAUGGAAUCUAUUCUUGAUGAAGAUGCUGUGAA